GCAGGUUUAGUGGUUAAGGGGUUUGACUUCCAGCCAAAGGGUUCUGGGUUCAAGCCCCAAAGUUUGCA